rnacentral:rRNA from 1 species
UACGUAGGUGGCAAGCGUUGUCCGGAUUUAUUGGGUUUAAAGGGUGCGUAGGCGGUUCUAUAAGUCAGUGGUGAAAUCCGGCAGCUCAACUGUCGAUGUGUCAUUGAUACUGCAGAACUUGAGUACAGACGAGGUAGGCGGAAUUGACGGUGUAGCGGUGAAAUGCUUAGAUAUCGUCAAGAACACCGAUAGCGAAGGCAGCUUACUAGACUGUAACUGACGCUGAUGCACGAAAGUGUGGGGAUCAAACAGG